rnacentral:rRNA from 1 species
GACGAACGCUGGCGGCGUGCUUAACACAUGCAAGUCGAACGGUAAGGCCCUUCGGGGUACACGAGUGGCGAACGGGUGAGUAAUACGUGGGUGAUCUGCCCUGCACUUCGGGAUAAGCCUGGGAAACUGGGUCUAAUACCGGAUAGGACCCUGGGAUGCAUGUCCUGGGGUGGAAAGCUUUUGCGGUGUGGGAUGGGCCCGCGGCCUAUCAGCUUGUUGGUGGGGUGAUGGCCUACCAAGGCGACGACGGGUAGCCGGCCUGAGAGGGUGACCGGCCACACUGGGACUGAGAUACGGCCCAGACUCCUACGGGAGGAAGCAGUGGGGAAUAUUGCACAAUGGGCGCAAGCCUGAUGCAGCGACGCCGCGUGAGGGAUGACGGCCUUCGGGUUGUAAACCUCUUUCAGCACCGACGAAGCGCAAGUGACGGUAGGUGCAGAAGGAGGACCGGCCAACUACGUGCCAGCAGCCGCCGUAA